rnacentral:piRNA from 1 species
UGGGUGACAACUCCACGAUUUUCAAGUGA